AGCAUUAGGCAGUUAAGUGCCUUUACCUUCUUUUAAGGCAGAAUUCGCUAAUCAAGUAUGUUCAGAAGAAACUUUCCCAUAUAACCCCCUAUGGAAGCGUUUACUGUGAACUCACAGCAUCUGUUAAAAGAUUUGUUGUUGAUGAUGUUGAUAGCACCUCACUUACUGUGCGAAUGAUUCGGAGGCGCUCACAUGCUGCCCACAUUGCCAAUUUUCUGGUGUCAGGUCAAAAUCAUUCUUCUUGCAGGGGGCAUAUCUAAGGUUUCUAAGAGCUCCAGGCAGUGCCACUCAGUACUAACUCUCAUUAUGGAAAUUAGGCAGCAGUAGUAGCUGCUAAUCUGAUAGCAGUUAGACUGUUCCUGACAGCUAUUUUCAUUUGGAACAUGAGAAACAAAGGAAGACAGGAUUUCUGCAAUCAAUCAAUAUAAGACGAGGAUAAUGAGGAUAAAUUGGAGAGAAUAAUCUACAUUUAGUCAAAAUCCUCAGUUUGUGAGAGCUAGUACUAGCUCAAGACUUGAUCACAUCCAAUCAAUAAAGAAAGCUGUGGGAAGUAUGAGCAAAAGUUAUCAGCCCUAUUGAAAGAAGAAGAGACUCUUGGUUUUUCUAAAUCUUUGGGCUAGCCUUGAUACAUGUUCUAAAUUCAGCUCUACAAUCUUUGUACUAGCAUAACACUAUGGCUACAAAUGAUUAAAAUCAGUAGCAUAA